CUCAACUUGUGAGGGAUUCACCUAUAUUACCUCUGCACCUGUAAUAAGACUAAGAAGACGGUGGCUGCACAUGUAGUUAACACCGAUUGUACCGCGACUUCGCCUUUCCGCAGCCUUUGUACCAACCUGCAGAGCCCUUUUGAGCCAAGAGCUGGACUUGGGGAGUAAAGAAGCUCAUUGUAAACGCCAGGAGGAAUUUCUUCAGGGUGAAGUUGACUUCCAAUCGGCUUCAUUCUAAAGGAAACAUGUGGAGCAAACAAACGGGAACUUUCUUUCUCAUCUUCUGCAUUUCAAGCCUAAUAAAAUUAGACGUUUCCACUGUCCUGCUCAGUCUCGAAGCUGUCGGCAGAUUCCGCUUUUAACUCUCAACACAGACACUCAGGAAAUCGGGAAAUCCCUGCAGCUCCCUCAGAAGCUAUCAGUAUCAGCGGUUCCCGAACCCGCAAACAAAAAACGCAACAUCACGUGCUCCUCCAAAGAGCCUAGCCUGUCUAUCGAGCGAUGGAAAGAGCGGCGAGGCGCUCUCGCAGCCGUGGCAGUCUGGACGAAAAGAACCAGGUCCCUUUCCUGGUCUAGCCUACCUCCCUACCUCUCUUCCCUCAUAUCCAGAAGAAGCGACGGAGAGCUCUAUUUCAUGCCAACAAAGGAAAUAAAAAAUAAGUUACUAAACAUCCAGAAGGCAGAAAAGCGACCUCUCUCCAUCUGCAGAAGCCAAGCAAACUUGUGGGCUUCCCUAUGCAUCCUUUCUUUUACUCACUUUCUAAACGCUGUAACGGCCACUAUCUAUCAGGUGGUCACAAGCCAUCGCUAAAGUCAAUCUGAGGUCAACCCACUCGACUUGUGAGGGAUUCAGCUAUACUGCCUCUGCGCCUCUAAUAGGACUAAGGAGGCGGUGGUUGCACAAGUAGUUAACACCGAUUGUACCGUGACUCCGCCUUUCCGCAGCCGCUCUCCAGCUCUUUAGAGUCCUUUUGAGUCAAGCUGGACGUGAGACAUACAGGAGAUCGUUGCAAACGCCAGGAGGAGUUUCUUCAGGGUGAAGUUAACUUUCAAUCGGCUUCAUUCUAAGAGAAAUAUGUGGAGCAAACAAACGGAAACUUUCUUUCUCAUCUUUUGCAUUUCAAGCAAAAACUAAUAAAAUUAGAUGUUUCCACCGUCAUGCUCAGUUUCGAAGCUGCCAGCAGAUCCCGCUUCUAACUUUUAACACAGGCACGCAGGAAAUCGGGAAAUCCCUGCAGCUCCCUCAGAAGCUACAGUAUCAGCGGUUCCUGAAGGGCAAACCAAAACCCAGUAUCACUCUCUCCUCCAAAGAGUUCAGCCGGUCUGCUGAGCGACGGAAAUAGCGGAGAGGCGCUCUUGAAGCCGAAACGAACCAGGUCCCCUUCCUGGUCGAGUCUUCCUCCCUAAGGACAAAAAAAGUACCUUUCUUCCCUCAUAUCCAGAGGAAGCGACGGAGGGAUGUGGCGCUUAGACUCACUGUACCAUCCCGUCCAUCCAAGUCCUAAUAAUCAUGAGGAUGCGACAGAGCGAGACUCCGUCUCAACAAAACAAAACAAAACAACCCUAAGGAAGAGAGAGAAUGUACUGGAGGAUAGGAAGUACUUAGGAAAACCUUUUUUUUUCUUGUAUUUAAAUUUAAGCCUUCAUUUAUAUAAAAUAAAACACAUGAAACCUAU
rnacentral:lncRNA from 10 species